CCCAAAGUAUUACAAGAAACGGAAUGACAAUGAAGAACUCUAUGACCCUUCUGAUGCUUUGUCUCUUAAUUUUCUUUAGCCCAGCAACUCCUGCCAGUGAAGGUGACCCCCCACCACACUAUUGUUGGGAUCACCUGAAGCUUGACCAUGUUUGUGGAGGUGCAGAUGAUUGCCGCGAUGCGUUCAUAAGACAUGACCCGCUUGGAACACCCUAUUUUGAUUGUCAUUGUGAUCCUGAUCCUUACUCUUGCACAUGCAAAAUACAGUGUUAGAUGAAAUUGUCAUAAUUAUAAUAUGUUACUCUAUUUGAAUAAGUUUUUACAUUCUCUUUGCA